ensembl:lncRNA
UAGAACCACAACAUUGGCCCCAACCACAACAGAAGCAGUCGUUAAAGCAACUACUACAACAGCAGAGCCUUCAACCACAACAUUGGCCCCAACCACAACAACUGAAGCAGUCAGUAAAACAACUACAGCAGUUUCUAUAACAGCAGAGCCUUCAACCACAACAUUGGCCCCUACCAUGACAACAGAAACAGUAGCCAGCACAGCUACAGCUGCUAGUACAACAGCAGAGCCUUCAACCACAACAUUGGCCCCAACCACAAAAACAGAAGCAGUCAGUAAAACAACUGCUACAACAGAAGAGCCUACAACCACAACAUUGGGCCCUACCAUGACAAUAGAAACAGUAGCCUGCACAACUACAGCAGAUACUACAACAGAAGAGCCUUCAACCACAACAACAAAAGCAAUCGGUAAAACAACUGCUACAACAGUAAAGCCUACAACCACAACAUUGGCCCCUACCAUGACAAUAGAAACAGUAGCCAGAACAACUACAUCAGCUACAACAACGGCAGAGCCUUCAAGCACAACAUUGGCCCCAACCACAACAAAAGAAGCAGUCAGUAAAACAACUACAGCAGCUACUACAACAGCAGAGCCCAGAACUGCAACAUUGGCCACAACCACAACAACAGUAGAUAAUGUAGUUGGUCUGGCGACUGUUCUGGCGAUUGUUCUGGCAGUUGUUAAAACAACUACUACAACAGAAGAGCCUACAACCACAACAUUGGUCCAAACCACAACAACAGAAGCAGUCUGUAAAACAACUACAGCGGCUACUACAACAGAAGAGCCUACAACCACAACAUUGGCCCCAACCACAACAACAGAAGCAGUCGGUAAAACAACUGCUACAACAGAAGAACCUACAAGCACAACAUUGGCACCUACUAAGACAACAGAAACAGUAUCCAGUACAACUACAGCAGCUACAACAACAGCAGAGCCUUCAACCACAACAUUGGCCCCAACCACAACAACAGAAGCAGUCGGUAAAACAACUACAGCAGCUACUACAACAGCAGAGCCUUCAACCACAACAUUGGCCCCAACCACAACAACAGAAGCAGUCGGUAAAACAACUACAGCUGCUACUUCAACAGCAGAGCCUACAAUCACAACAUUGGCCCAAACCACAACAAAAGAAGCAGUCAGUAAUACAACUACAGCAGCUACUACAACAGCAGAGCCUUCAACCACAACAUUGGCCCCAACCACAACAACAGAAACAGUAGCCAGCACAGCUACAGCUGCUAGUACAACAGCAGAGCCUUCAACCACAACAUUGGCCCCAACCACAAAAACAGAAGCAGUCAGUAAAACAACUGCUACAACAGAAGAGCCUACAACCACAACAUUGGGCCCUACCAUGACAAUAGAAACAGUAGCCUGCACAACUACAGCAGAUACUACAACAGAAGAGCCUUCAACCACAACAACAAAAGCAAUCGGUAAAACAACUCCUACAAGAGAAAAGCCUACAAGCACAACAUUGGCCCCAACCACAACAACAGUAGAUUAUGUAGUUGGUCUGGCGACUGUUCUGGCGAUUGUUCUGGCAGAAGCUACUACAGCAGCAGAGCCUAGAACCACAACAUUGGCCCCAACCACCACAACAGUAGAUAAUGUAGUUUGUCUGGCGACUGUUCUGGCGAUUGUUCUGGCAGUUGUUAAAACAACUACUACAACAGAAGAGCCUACAACCACAACAUUAGCCCCAACCACAAAAACAGAAGCAGUCGGUAAAACAACUGCUACAACAGCAGAGCCUACAACAACAACAUUGGCCCCAACCUCAACAACUGAAGCAGUCAGUAAAACAACUACAGCAGUUUCUAUAACAGCAGAGCCUAGAAUCACAACAUUGGCCCCAACCACAAAAGAAGCAGUCGGUAAAACAACUGCUAAAACAGAAGAGCCUACAAGCACAACAUUGGCGCCUACUACGAAAACAGAAACAGUAUCCAGAACAACUACAGCAGCUACUACAACAGCAGAGCCUAGAACCACAACAUUGGCCCCAACCACAACAACAGUAGAUAAUGUAGUUGUUCUGGCAACUAUUCUGGCGGUUGUUCUGGCAGAAGCUACCAAAGCAGCAGAGCCUAGAACCACAACAUCGGCCCCAAACACAACAGGAGCAGUCGGUAAAUCAACUACAGCAGCUACUACAACAGCAGAGCCUACAGCCACAACAUUGGCCCCAAACACAACAGAAGCAGUCAUUAAAACAACUACUACAACAGCAGAGCCUACAACCACAACAUUGGCCCCAAACACA